GCCUCCAAUCGAAGCUCUAGUGCUGGUGAC
rnacentral:piRNA from 1 species